rnacentral:lncRNA from 1 species
UGCUCCGCCAGCGCCCUUGGCACGCCGUCCAACUCCCCCAACUCGCCGGCGAACAAGUCUUCGUUCUUCCUCAGGAGUUGUUCUAGACCUUCCCUGAUGUUCUGUGGGAGGUCCUUUCCCAUUUGCACCUCGCCCCGCCCGAGAGGCGCUUGAAUCGUGUGGGACGCCGGUUCGGGCCUUGCUGUGCGUUCCCGCAUCGAGUGGGGUAGGC